rnacentral:tRNA from 2 species
GGCGUGAUAGCUCAGUUGGUAGAGCAACGGAUUGAAAAUCCGUGUGUCCACAGUUCGAUCCUGGGUCUCGCCACCA